UACAGAGGGUGCAAGCGUUGUUCGGAAUCAUUGGGCGUAAAGCGCGUGUAGGCGGCCUUUUAAGUCUGGUGUGAAAUCCCGGGGCUCAACCCCGGAAGUGCACUGGAUACUGGAAGGCUAGAGGACGAGAGAGGAGAGUGGAAUUCAUGGUGUAGGGGUGAAAUCCGUAGAUAUCAUGAGGAACAUCUGAGGCGAAGGCGACUCUCUGGCUCGUUUCUGACGCUGAGACGCGAAAGCGUGGGGAGCAAACAGG
rnacentral:rRNA from 1 species